AUUGAACGCUGGCGGCAUGCUUUACACAUGCAAGUCGAACGGUAACAGGCCGCAAGGUGCUGACGAGUGGCGAACGGGUGAGUAAUGCAUCGGAACGUGCCCAGUCGUGGGGGAUAACGCAGCGAAAGCUGCGCUAAUACCGCAUACGAUCUAUGGAUGAAAGCGGGGGACCGUAAGGCCUCGCGCGAUUGGAGCGGCCGAUGUCAGAUUAGGUAGUUGGUGGGGUAAAGGCCUACCAAGCCAACGAUCUGUAGCUGGUCUGAGAGGACGACCAGCCACACUGGGACUGAGACACGGCCCAGACUCCUACGGGAGGCAGCAGUGGGGAAUUUUGGACAAUGGGCGCAAGCCUGAUCCAGCAAUGCCGCGUGCAGGAAGAAGGCCUUCGGGUUGUAAACUGCUUUUGUACGGAACGAAACGGUCCGGGUUAAUACCCUGGGGUCAUGACGGUACCGUAAGAAUAAGCACCGGCUAACUACGUGCCAGCCGCCGCGGUAAGAC
rnacentral:rRNA from 1 species